rnacentral:rRNA from 1 species
GUGGAGCCAACCUUGAGAUACCACCCUGGCAUGAUUAGAGUUCUAACCUAGGUCCGUUAUCCGGAUCAGGGACAUUGUAUGGUGGGUAGUUUGACUGGGGCGGUCUCCUCCUAAAGAGUAACGGAGGAGCACAAAGGUUCCCUCAGCGCGGUCGGUAUCGCGCAUUAAGAGUGUAAAGGCAUAAGGGAGCUUGACUGCGAGACAGACAUGUCGAGCAGGAGCGAAAGCUGGUCUUAGUGAUCCGGUGGUUCUGUAUGGAAGGGCCAUCGCUCAACGAAUAAAAGGUACGCCGGGGAUAACAGGCUAAUUCCCCCCAAGAGUUCACAUCGACGGGGGAGUUUGGCACCUCGAUGUCGGCUCAUCACAUCCUGGGGCUGUAGCAGGUCCCAAGGGUAUGGCUGUUCGCCAUUUAAAGUGGUACGCGAGCUGGGUUUAGAACGUCGUGAGACAGUUCGGUCCCUAUCUGGUGCGUUCGUUGGAAACUUGAAGGGAGCUGCUCCUAGUACGAGAGGACCGGAGUGGACGUACCCCUGGUGUUCCGGUUGUCACGCCAGUGGCAUUGCCGGGUAGCUAUGUACGGAAGGGAUAACCGCUGAAAGCAUCUAAGCGGGAAGCCCACCCUAAGAUAAGGUUUCCCUGGAUCCUUGAGAUCCCUGAAGGGCCAUCGAAGACUACGAUGUUGAUAGGUCGGGUGUGGAAGCUCAGUAAUGAGUGUAGCUAACCGAUACUAAUUACCCGUGAGGCUUG